GGAGAGUUGUCCGAGAGGUUGAAGGAGCUCGCCUGGAAAGCGGGUAUACGGGGAACCGUAUCGAGGGUUCGAAUCCCUCACUCUCCGCCA
rnacentral:tRNA from 1 species